AAUUCUCUAGCCAGCACCAACCCAUCGCUGCUGCGCGCUCAUCUAUAUUGCCUUUUCUGGUUGGGUUAUUAAUGAAUGCCCAGAGUGACGAGGUAUAGUUACAUAUUAAUAGGUCUAAUAUCGAUUCUUGUGGAAACGCAGCAUCUGGCAGCUUUUCUUCAU